rnacentral:rRNA from 1 species
UACAGAGGUCCCAAGCGUUGUUCGGAUUUACUGGGCGUAAAGGGUGCGUAGGUGGCUGGGUAAGUCUGGUGUGAAAGCUCCGAGCUCAACUCGGAAAAGCAUUGGAAACUAUCCCGCUGGAGGGUCGGAGGGGAGACUGGAAUUCUCGGUGUAGCAGUGAAAUGCGUAGAUAUCGAGAGGAACACCAGUGGCGAAGGCGAGUCUCUGGACGACUCCUGACACUGAGGCACGAAAGCUAGGGGAGCAAACAGG